rnacentral:tRNA from 1 species
GGAGAGAUGCGAGAGCGGUCGAAUCGGGCGGUCUCGAAAACCGUUGACCCGCAAGGGUCCGGGGGUUCGAAUCCCCCUCUCUCCG